rnacentral:lncRNA from 1 species
ACUUCCUUUUCUUAACAGAAUGAUCUCUGGUUCCACCUGUUUUCUUGCAUGAUUGUAAUUUUGGUCCUUUUUAGAGCCAAAUAGAACUUUAUUAAGUGUGUGUGUCACACUUUCUUCAUCCAUUUAUCUGGUGGUGGGCAUCUAGGCAAAGACCGCAGCAAAAAACAUGGGUCCGAUUCCUUUGGCUAUAUGUCAAGGAGUGUUUUACCUCAACCAUAUGGAAGUCCUCUUAUUAGGUAAUUUCAGAGCCAUCACACUGACUGCACUGGCAGAUGCUCUUCCUGUUGGUUGACUGAACUCAUAACCGUAGCUUCAGCUUCCGGUGGCUCUGUUACAUGACCAGUAAGGACGGGAAGAAUCCAAGAGACUGCCUCCAGCAGAUGUUGGAGCAGGAACAAAGCUCCUUUUUGAUCAUUUAGUUCUUUCAGAGUUGAGACAUUUAUAAAUCGGUAAUAUUCUUAAAUUGAAACAGGUGUGGUUACUGGACAUUGUGGGUUAUGGAUUU